UACGAGGGGGGCAAGCGUUGUUCGGAAUUAUUGGGCGUAAAGGGUGCGUAGGCGGUUUGACAAGUCAUCUGUGAAAUCUAUGGGCUCAACCCAUAGUCUGCAGGCGAAACUGUCGGGCUUGAGUAUGGGAGAGGUGAGUGGAAUUUCCGGUGUAGCGGUGAAAUGCGUAGAUAUCGGAAGGAACACCUGUGGCGAAAGCGGCUCACUGGCUCGAUACUGACGCUGAGGUGCGAAAGCGUGGGGAGCAAACAGG
rnacentral:rRNA from 1 species